GACGAACGCUGGCGGCGUGCUUAACACAUGCAAGUCGAACGGAAAGGCCCUGCUUUUGUGGGGUGCUCGAGUGGCGAACGGGUGAGUAACACGUGAGUAACCUGCCCUUGACUUUGGGAUAACUUCAGGAAACUGGGGCUAAUACCGGAUAGGAGCUCCUGCUGCAUGGUGGGGGUUAGAAAGUUUCGGCGGUUGGGGAUGGACUCGCGGCUUAUCAGCUUGUUGGUGGGGUAGUGGCUUACCAAGGCUUUGACGGGUAGCCGGCCUGAGAGGGUGACCGGCCACAUUGGGACUGAGAUACGGCCCAGACUCCUACGGGAGGCAGUAGUGGGGAAUAUUGCACAAUGGGCGGAAGCCUGAUGCAGCAACGCCGCGUGCGGGAUGACGGCCUUCGGGUUGUAAACCGCUUUCGCCUGUGACGAAGCGUGAGUGACGGUAAUGGGUAAAGAAGCACCGGCUAACUACGUG
rnacentral:rRNA from 1 species